GACGAACGCUGGCGGCGUGCUUAACACAUGCAAGUCGAACGAUGAUGCCCAGCUUGCUGGGUGGAUUAGUGGCGAACGGGUGAGUAACACGUGAGUAACCUGCCCCUGACUCUGGGAUAAGCGUUGGAAACGACGUCUAAUACUGGAUAUGAUCACCGGCCGCAUGGUCUGGUGGUGGAAAGAUUUUUUGGUUGGGGAUGGACUCGCGGCCUAUCAGCGUGUUGGUGAGGUAAUGGCUCACCAAGGCGACGACGGGUAGCCGGCCUGAGAGGGUGACCGGCCACACUGGGACUGAGACACGGCCCAGACUCCGACGGGAGGCAGCAGUGGGGAAUAUUGCACAAUGGGCGAAAGCCUGAUGCAGCAACGCCGCGUGAGGGAUGACGGCCUUCGGGUUGUAAACCUCUUUUAGUAGGGAAGAAGCGAAAGUGACGGUACCUGCAGAAAAAGCACCGGCUAACUACGUGCCAGCAGCCGCAGUAACAC
rnacentral:rRNA from 1 species